ACGAACGCUGGCGGCGUGCCUAAUACCUGCCAGUCGAACGAACCGCGACUAGGUGCUUGCACUUGGUCAAGGUGAGUGGCGAACGGGUGAGUAACACGUGGGUAACCUACCUCAUAGUGGGGGAUAACAGUCGGAAACGACUGCUAAUACCGCAUAGGACAUAGGAUCACAUGAUCCAGUGAGGAAAGGUGGCGCAAGCUAUCGCUAAGAGAUGGACCCGCGGUGCAUUAGCUAGUUGGUAGGGUAAAGGCCUACCAAGGCGAUGAUGCAUAGCCGACCUGAGAGGGUGAUCGGCCACAUUGGGACUGAGACACGGCCCAAACUCCUACGGGAGGCAGCAGUAGGGAAUCUUCCGCAAUGGACGCAAGUCUGACGGAGCAACGCCGCGUGAGUGAAGAAGGUCUUCGGAUCGUAAAGCUCUGUUGUUAGAGAAGAACAGCGCAUAGAGUAACUGUUAUGCGUGUGACGGUAUCUAACCAGAAAGCCACGGCUAACUACGUG
rnacentral:rRNA from 1 species